rnacentral:tRNA from 1 species
CCCGGCGUGGCGUAAAGGUUAGCGUGCCAGAUUCUAACUCUGGAGAUCCCCGUUCGAUCCGAGGGCGUCGGUG